UGAGGAAUAUUGGGCAAUGCCCGCAAGGGUGACCCAGCAACGCCGCGUGGAGGAUGAAUGUCGUAAGAUUGUAAACUCCUGUUAGAGGGGAAGAAUAGUACCGGUUGGACCGGUAUAUGACUGUACCCUCAGAGAAAGCCCCGGCUAACUACGUGCCAGCAGCCGCGGUAAUACGUAGGGGGCAAGCGUUGUCCGGAUUUACUGGGUGUAAAGGGCGCGCAGGCGGGAUAAAAAGUCAGUGGUGAGAUCCUACAGCUUAACUGUAGAACUGCCUUUGAUACUUUUAUUCUUGAGUUCGGGAGAGAGAGACGGAAUUCCAGGUGUAGUGGUGAAAUACGUAGAUAUCUGGAAGAACACCAGUUGCGAAGGCGGUCUCUUGGUCCGACACUGACGCUGAGGCGCGAAAGCGUGGGG
rnacentral:rRNA from 1 species